CAGGGAGACAACAAAAUGUUCAAUAUUAUUUUGUCACCUUAGGUCGAUCGGUAUCUCACGUUCUUAAUUUAUUAAGAAUUUCAUUUCCUAAGUUUUUCUAGGUCACACCCAUUAUUUUUCCUGGGCCAUUAGCUCAGGUGGUUAGAGCGCACCCCUGAUAAGGGUGAGGUCCCUGGUUCAAGUCCAGGAUGGCCCAUAUCUCUAUGUUGGGGGUAUAGCUCAGUUGGUAGAGCGCCUGCUUUGCAAGCAGGAUGUCAGCGGUUCGAGUCCGCUUACCUCCACUGAUUACCACCUCUUCCAUAAUUUUUAGAAAAGGAAAUUUUUUGAGUUGUGAUCAAAUUCUGAACGAAUCCAGCUUCCUAAUGAAAUCAUUAAGAUGCUGGACUCAUUGAAUUAAUUUCAUUGUUUUCAGAGAACCUUGACAACUGCAUAGAUUAUUUUUAAAGACAAUAAGCAUCUUUAAUGAUGCAGAUUUUUUAUUUGUGCGAAUGCAUUAAUAACAAUUCUAUUAAGCUGAUGCUUCAAUAUUGAAGUUAUU
rnacentral:tRNA from 1 species